rnacentral:tRNA from 1 species
GGGGAAUUAGCUCAGUGGUAGAGCGCUUGCUUAGCACUUUGGAUUGCAUGAGGCCGUGGGUUCAAUUCCCACAUUCUCCA